GCAAACUUGGUCAUUUAGAGGAAGUAAAAGUCGUAACAAGGUCUCCGUAGGUGAGUGCUAAAUCCAAACCCUUUUAUUAAAUUUUUAAUGAGAAAUCAAUGCUAACUGUUCUAAUUUAGGUGAACCUGCGGAGGGAUCAUUACCGAGUGAGGGCGUCAGCGCCCGACCUCCAACCCUUUGUUGAUUAUCCUGUUGCCUCGGGGGCGACCCGGCCUUUGGGCGUUGGGGCCCCCGGUGGACCACUUAAACUCUGCGUUUUUUGCGUCCGAGUAUUUGAAACAAAUUGAUUAAAACUUUCAACAACGGAUCUCUUGGUUCUGGCAUCGAUGAAGAACGCAGC
rnacentral:misc_RNA from 1 species